rnacentral:lncRNA from 1 species
GUCUCAAGCAGCCUCACUUUGGCAAGGGAAAAGGAAAGAAGAAAGCCAUGGCAGCGGAAGCUUGGACGCAUGGAGAACAAGAGGAAGAAAAGGUGGUACCACAGCACAUGGCUGCCAGUUUUCCUUUACCUCUUUGUAGGAAGAGCAACAGAAUCCCAGGUCUUCACUUCCUCUUCACACUUGGUAGUAAUCAAUUAAUACAACUAUUCCUCCCUCUAACUUUUCUUCCCUCAUUUGUCUCCCAUUUGCAUUAAUCUGAUUCCUGCUUGCUAAACUCGUCUUGGACAUCCCUAAGAACGUAGAGUUAGAAUCUCCCAUGAAUUGCUUAGCUGGUUUGAUGAGAUCAUUUGCAUGAAGGGGAACUUAGCACCUUAUAUAUCCUUUGUUUGAUGGCCGUUUUACUUUCACUACUUCCACAUUCAGUACUUCAUACACA